AAAUUGAAAGAUGCCUCAAACUUUUUGGUCAGGCAGCAAACCCAGCAAUGAAUACUGUAUCAACUACUAAAGCAUGAUUAGUGAGUAUAUUGAGGAAGUAUAGGUUUGAAAGCGGAUCAUCUGAUACUGAGAUACAAUUAAAAAAGAAACAAGGUUUUACUCAGUCUCCAAAAGAUUGUUUUUCUAAGAAUGACUCCCUAAUAAAAUCAGUUGGAAUUAAAUUUUAUUUUUAUUUUCGGGUAGUUUACAAGCAUAUUAUUUUGAAAUUUUUUUGCAAAAUAAUAAUAAGUUUCUGUAAUUUUGAUUAGAUCAAUCUCAAGGGCGUGGUGUAGCCCUGCCUUAAAACCACGUGGAGUCA